rnacentral:lncRNA from 1 species
CGGAAGGCCAAGCCACUCUCCAACGGAUCCCUCUGUAACAAUAAUUGUAACAGUGAAUAGGUAACAGAAGCCUUCUAUCAACCUUUGCCAUAUCAGAUGUCCUAAACGUGAAACCUAAAGAUAAUAGCUUGAACGCAGCAGGACGCAACAACAUUCGCUGCUAACCAACUAGAUCUAUACACUUCAGAAGAGGGACUGCGUUUUACCUGCCAGUUUUCAAUCGACCAAAUAUCUCAAUCGUCGCUGGUUGGGGUUCCCAGGGCACAGUAAACCUGCGCAAACACUACAAUUAUCAAAACCACUAACUUUAACACUGUCAUCUCGGUAAAUUUGAGGGAAUAGAUGAUAGGCUGCAGUGUUUCUUCUGUUUGAAACAAACAGAUAUCUAUUAAGCAAAGCCAAAGUUGUAACAGGCUUUUUAGUGUGGUCUCUCUCGUGUGCCUGUCAAUCGGUAACGCAGUGGUCAAUUUAUAUUCCAAUGUUUUGCUCCGCCCCUCUUUCCAUAUACCAUCAUAUGUGCAUUUUUAUGAGUAAAUAUUGUUUUUGACAUAACUUUGUGCGCAACUGGUGAGCAAACUCACGAUUGUCUAAAGCCAUCUGACCUUUUUCUCAUGAUGCAUGUGUUGUUUUUCUCAACCCAUUUGUUUUACAUUGUGUGUUCGAAUUGUUUACCUCUGGAUAAAUUAUCGUCCAAUAAGGGCAGAACACCCAGAGGUGAGUACUAUUGAGUUAGGACAAUAAGCAAUGACUUAUUGAAGAAAUAUAUAUUGCAGUUGACUUGGUGAAAAAAGGCUAAUGGAAUCAAUGUUGGACAAAUCAAACCCUCUCUAAUGAAUGUAUUGUAAUGACCUGACUAGAUCAUAAAGGAACAAUUGUCCAGACAGAGGAUGGAGUUAACGAAUGGACGGUUUAUUAACUCAACUUAACACAGGCUACUAUUUGGCCGUAGCCCACGCCAAAUGAAUGAAAGGUACCCUACAAACCAACCGUGGCCUUCUCUUGUGAAGCACAGACGUAAGAGAGAGAACAAUGGCUAAACCCGGUCUUAACUUCCAAUGCUCCAUCCCCCUGCCCAAUGCUCCAUCCCCCACGCCACUCCGCCAACCACCAGGCUACCCGGUAUCAGAACAUUCCAGGCAUUCCCGUGAUUGGCAGAUAGCAGGUUGAUUGGCAUGACCCCGCGAACAUUGGUAGACAGGGGCGUCAUGCAACCCAAAAACCUGAGGGGGCACAAAGUAUGCGAGGAUGGCUGGUGGGGCUAGAAAUAUAAAAUCACAAUAGCUAAUUUACAAAUUAAAUCCGGAACGCAAUUAUGUCAUUAAUUAGGAAUGUAUGACAUUGCUUUGUUCAUUAUCACCAAUAAUUCGGAUAUUUGCCAAUUUAGAGAAUUUAGCAUUUUUCAAACAUCUGAAACAGUUUUUUUCUGCAAUCUAGAGCCAUAAGCAUUAUGCUUAAUUAUAUGUAAAGACAACAUGGUUAUUUUUCUGCAUAUCUAAUCAUACCUCUUGAGCUGUCUGUAUCCUACUGACGGGUGUUUUUUUUAUUUAAGAAACUAAAUAUGCUACUCUGCAUUUCUACUAAAAUCUGAGUAAAAUAUUGAAAGGAAUGAGUCUUCUUCAGUACAUUUAGUAAUUGCUUGCUUUUCUAGUCCACCAACCUUGCCAGCAGGCAUACCAGCUAAGAUAGUUAGACAAGUUACUCUAACUUGAUAGCCUGAAAUGUCUUGGUAGCUAGUUAUGAGGUUGGGCGAUUUGGAACAUAUCUGGACUAGCUAAAGCCAACUUCAUCAAAUUGCUACAGAUGUAGGAUCUUCAUUUGAUCACUUGAAAUAUUAAACGAGAGCCGCACACUCUAGGAGCUCAGAUGCAAAAAUGUAAUUACCUAAUAACCAACAUUUUGACAGACAAGCUGUCUUCAUCACGGUAUAAUGACAAACACUGCGGGGUGACUAGUUUAUAUAGUGUCAAAGGACACACACAGGUGUCUGUAAUCAUGGCUGGGUGUGGCCUGACAUCAUUGGUUAAUUCUCAGAUAUAAAAAUAACAUACCAAAAACAUGAAUGGAUAGCAUACAAUCAUAGAUACAAUUUGGCUACAUAGGCCUACAAACAUUUACAAUAGCAAAAUCACAAUAAUCACAAGAAUGGCUUCAGAUCAAAGUCUACGUUAAGACCGAAGGGAGCAAGGGUCUUUAAAUUAAAGAUCCAGGCAGCCUCUCGUUUUAACAAUAAAUUGUCGAGGUCACCCCCUCUCCUAGGGAGGGUGACAUGUUCGAUGCUGAUAUAAAGUAGGGAUGCAAUCGACAUGGUUUCAUUCCAAAAACUUAAUUAGGUCACCCUGUUGCAGGAUAAGUUUCCUGCAAUGCAGGAAAUGUAAACUUGUAGUGUAUUUGAGGUUUAAAACGGUUUCUGAAGUCUGUCACUUCCACUCUGAAAUAACAGACUUGAUUUUCCCUUACAAAAAAUGUGCAUUAAUUAUAAUCCACAUAAUAAUUCCCAUUUCCUAUUGCUGCAGGAUUAUUUUCCUGCUGUAGUAAACUGCCUCAAAUUAACAUCCUACAUCUGCAGGUGUCUAGUAGUAUUACAGAGAAACAAUAACAACAAAUUAAACAAAAAAAUGUUAUGUUAUUUUUUUCUUUUUUCCCAGGACACAUCUGAGGGGGCACGUUAUCAUGUGACCCUUAUGGGCAUGACACCUCUGGUGGCAGAUCUGCAAGUAGCAUGUAGGCUUACAGCUUCCAUGUGUUUUAUGGCAUGCAUCACAUAGCAGGCAUAGGCUAAGGUCUAUGUUAAUACACACAAACAGUUGAAGUCGGAAGUUUACAUACACUUAGGUUGGAGUCAUUAAAACUUGUUUUUCAACCACUCUACAAAUUUCUUGUUAACAAACUAUAGUUUUGGCAAGUCG